rnacentral:rRNA from 1 species
CCUACGGGGGGCAGCAGUGAGGAAUAUUGGUCAAUGGACGAGAGUCUGAACCAGCCAAGUAGCGUGAAGGAUGACUGCCCUAUGGGUUGUAAACUGCUUUUGUACGAGGGUAAACGCAGAUACGCGUAUCUGUCUGAAAGUAUCGUACGAAUAAGGAUCGGCUAACUCCGUGCCAGCAGCCGCGGUAAUACGGAGGAUUCAAGCGUUAUCCGGAUUUAUUGGGUUUAAAGGGUGGGCAGAGGGAAGAUCAAGUCAUCGGUAAAAUUGAUAGGCUAAACCUCUUCGAGCAGUUGAAACUGGUUGUCUUGAGUGAGUGAGAAGUAUGCGGAAUGCGUGGUGUAGCGGUGAAAUGCAUAGAUAUCACGCAGAACUCCGAUUGCGAAGGCAGCAUACCGGCGCUCAACUGACGCUCAUGCACGAAAGUGUGGGUAUCGAACAGGAUUAGAUACCCUAGUAGUC